rnacentral:lncRNA from 1 species
CCCGACUCCGAUCCCUGCGACAUCCUCCAUUCCUCGCCGCCUUAGGCCGUUUCGCUGUCCCCGCGAUGGUCACUGUUUUGUCUCUGCCACGCGGUCGUUUUUAAAACCUUUUCCGUGUCGGAGAUCCCUCGGAGACACCCGGGAAGGCCUUGAAAGCUGCCCGCCCUCUGAAGCAUUUACGCGCCAAACUGCGGCCGCGGCGCUUCACAGACUCCUCCCCGCCCAGGUUAAGAACCUUCCUUUCUGCGUCUGGUGAGAGCGCGGCCCAGCGACCUUAACUUUUCGCUUCAAAGCUCACAAGCCGCCUUUCCCGGGGUUCCAAUGCCAGUCUUCCAGUGCCAGUGCUGCUUCCCAGCCCACACAUCCCUCUCACCACUGCUGCAUCCUAAGGAAGUCAGCAACCUUCAGGGGGUACUUGUUCCUAGAGCCAGAGUAGAGGAGGGUGGCGCUUCCAAGGCUGUGGGCAUCCAAAGAAAGAGUGCUGUCCAUCCUCCUCCUGCCUACUGAUCUCCCAUCAGCAGAACCCCACUGGAGACCUACUGGCAGCUUUUUUUAGGGCCGCUCUCGAAUCAGAGCUACAGCUGCCAGCUUAUAUCACAGCUACAGCAACAUAGGAUCCAAGCUAUGUCUGCGACCUACAAUGCGGCUCACGGCAACGCGGGAUCUCUAACCCACUGAGCAAAGCCAGGGAUCAAAACUACAUCCUCAUGGGUACUAGUCAGAUUCAUUUCCACUACACCACAACAGGAACUCCCUACAUUUGUUUUGUGGUAACAAUUACCUGGUAAAUUUCCAUCUUCCAAUAGAGUUGUGCUACUCUCUUUCACAGUUUUCUUACUGUAUUUUUGAGUAGGUAUUGUGCAUAUAACUUUCAUGGUCCUCAAAAUUAAAUCCUCUGUUAUUAUUAGGAGGUGAAGAGAAGGACCCGGAGAGCUUUAUAGAAUUAGUUCUCAUGGGCUCUUUCCUCCGUUGCUAUAGCAAAAAAAAAAAAAAAAAAAAAAAAGUAUUUCCUUAAAAUACAGCAACUCUGUGAAGUCAUGCUUCCUGUGCCUCCAGGUACCUAACCAGGCUCUGAAAAGCUUCUACGUAUAGUUCUCAACUUCCUGAUUUAUUCACACACUGCAGAGACCCAGGCUUUGCCUUACAAAAUAAUAUGAUCACUUUUAGAAAGUUAUUACUGGUGGUUUCUAAGAUCUACUAUCUCUGAUUAGGCACUUCGUAUCUUUCUCUCUCUUUAGUGUUUAGACCCUAAUCAAUCUCAGUUCUUUCCCAGAAUGUCCUCUUGAAUUCCUACAUAGAUUUGCUGCACAGUGCUUAUGGUCUCAGUUGCUGACUACAGCAUUGACUGUAAUUUUGGAGUGUUGGGGUUUUGUUAGUCAGCUGUUUGCUGAAAAUUCAUUUUCUGUGACCUUAUUUUUUUUCUUCUUGUUGUUCUGGAUAGAUUUCAGGAGAAGGAAUGAAAAGUUUCAGAACUUAACAGACUCCCAUGUUCUCAUAGAAUGAUGAUAUAAUUUAUUUUUCUCCCAUGUUCUCAAAAGAAAUGAAAAAAUUCUCUGGAAGUACUAUGAUUAUUGGCUUUAGAUAAUGAACGAGAAUGUUCUAGUUAUCACCAGCCUAAUUCAAGCCAAUUAUAUAGAUUUUUCAUACCUACUAUAACAUUAAGGCUAUGUCUAGAAGAUAAUGUCACAAAGUAAUUUAAUGGAAAAUCAUUUAAGGCCUACAGUUCAGAUAAAUUAAGUUUUAAGCAAAAGAGGUUCUGAAAGAAGUAGAAGCAGCAUUUUAUUUUGAUAUGCUAAAAAAUGAAUUGCUAAUAAAAUGUUUCUCCU